rnacentral:rRNA from 1 species
AGGACGAACGCUGGCGGCGUGCUUAACACAUGCAAGUCGAGCGGAAAGGCCCUUCGGGGUACUCGAGCGGCGAACGGGUGAGUAACACGUGAGCAAUCUGCCCUUAGCUUCGGGAUAGCCCCGGGAAACCGGGAUUAAUACCGAAUACGACCUCGGCCGACAUCGGCCUUGGUGGAAAGUUUUUCGGCUAGGGAUGAACUCGCGGCCUAUCAGCUUGUUGGUGGGGUGAUGGCCUACCAAGGCGACGACGGGUAG